rnacentral:rRNA from 1 species
UUUAAUGGCUGCAGUAUAAUUGACUGUACAAAGGUAGCAUAAUCAAUUGAUUUUUAAAUGAAAUCUGGAAUGAAAGGAUUAAUGAAAUAUAUACUGUCUCAUAUAUAUGUUAUGAAUUUAAAAUUUUAAUAAAAAUGUUAAAAUUUUUUUAUGGGACGAUAAGACCCUAUAGAAUUUUAUAUAAAAUUAAUUUUAUAUUAAAAUAAAAUUUAAUUUUAUAUUUAAUUGGGAGAAUUAUUAAAUUUAAUGAAUUUUAAUUUUUAAUAACUUUAAUUUAAGAAAAUUAGAAUUGAUCUUUAAUUUAAAAUUUAUAGAAUAAAUUACCUUAGGGAUAACAGCGUUAUAUUUUUUUAUAGAUCAUAUAGAAAAAAAUGAUUGCGACCUCGAUGUUGAAUUAAGAUAAAUUUUAAAUGUGACU